rnacentral:rRNA from 1 species
GAUGAACGCUGGCGGCGUGCCUAAUACAUGCAAGUCGAGCGAACAGAUAAGGAGCUUGCUCCUUUGACGUUAGCGGCGGACGGGUGAGUAACACGUGGGUAACCUACCUAUAAGACUGGAAUAACUCCGGGAAACCGGGGCUAAUGCCGGAUAACAUUUAGAACCGCAUGGUUCUAUAGUGAAAGAUGGUUUUGCUAUCACUUAUAGAUGGACCCGCGCCGUAUUAGCUAGUUGGUAAGGUAACGGCUUACCAAGGCAACGAUACGUAGCCGACCUGAGAGGGUGAUCGGCCACACUGGAACUGAGACAUGGUCCAGACUCCUACGGGAGGCAGCAGUAGGGAAUCUUCCGCAAUGGGCGAAAGCCUGACGGAGCAACGCCGCGUGAGUGAUGAAGGUCUUCGGAUCGUAAAACUCUGUUAUUAGGGAAGAACAAAUGUGUAAGUAACUGUGCACGUCUUGACGGUACCUAAUCAGAAAGCCACGGCUAACUACGUG